rnacentral:misc_RNA from 1 species
AACUAGGACAUCUUUGUAAUAACCUCAGGAUCGAUAAGUAAUUUGGAGCAUAGAGCAAUCUUCAAAUGUAUUUAUGUACAGCAAGUUUUGCCUGUUGUAGCUUCUUCAUUAAUAGCCUCUCUUAGUCUCUGCCCUUCCCCAGUUCCCCUUGGUUGCUUGCGUGCAUGCUAAUAGAUGUAUGCAACUAGUGCAUCACUCAAAAAAUAAAUAAAACCUGGUCACUGGGUUCCGAAGUUCAAUUUAAUUUGGGCAGGCAUUCAAGGUCAGGGAUCUAGAAUCCAGUCUGACCCACUCAUGGAUGUAGAGGAAGGAUGAUGAAUAAAACUAAAUUCUGUCCUCAGGGUGGCAGCUUUAGGAUAAAAUCAAAGCAAUCUUCAAACAGUAACUUUUCUUUUUCUUGUCUCUCUUCUUCCAUUUGUAAUCCUCCAC